UACAGAGGUCUCAAGCGUUGUUCGGAUUCAUUGGGCGUAAAGUGUGCGCAGGCGGCCGCGCAAGUCGAGUGUGAAAUCCCCGAGCUUAACUUGGGAAUUGCGCUCGAAACUACGUGGGCUGGAGUGUGGCAGAGGGAAGGUGGAAUUCCACGUGUAGCGGUGAAAUGCGUAGAUAUGUGGAGGAACACCGAUGGCGAAGGCAGCCUCUGGCCAACACUGACGCUCAUGCACGAAAGCGUGGGGAGCAAACAGG
rnacentral:rRNA from 1 species